UGUGGAUGAAGAGCCAGAGUCCUCCAAGGUAAAUGCUCCUGGCCAGUGGCCUGGUGUCUGUGUUAACUGAACAUCUCCAACGCCCUCAGAGUCCACAACCACCAUUAAGUCACUUAUCAAGUCAUUUGACUUGGGAUGCCCAGGUGAAGCUGGACUGAAUAUUUCUGUCCAUAAGACUAUUAGAAUCCCCCAAAGUGGGAUACCAGUGAGGACCUCACCAGCAGCUGCUGUCUCUCCAAUGCAGGU
rnacentral:lncRNA from 1 species